UCUCUCCAUCGCAUCGCCCUCGCCUUCGCUUUACCCCUUUCGUUCGCCUAUUUUGAAACCCUAGAAUUGCCAGGUGGGCGAGCACCGAAAUCCCAUAUUCGUGAUCCUUUUCCCGUUCUUUGAUCACGACCUCGAUCCUUUUGUGUCCGGUGCGAAGCGAAGAAGCGGCCCCCAUGAACUGCGAAACUUGCCAACUCAAAGAACUGGUGGUGGAGCCGCCAGAGAUUAGAGAGGUGCUGCGCUGCAUAUUGCACACCAUUCUCUUCCAUAGAGCAUUAGGACUUGUUCGGCCCAAGGAUGUUGAAUGUGAACUGUUCGAUAUCACCUAUGUUCAGUGUGAAGAUCAUGAACUAGAAAAGAAAAUUGAUGAAAAGAUCAACCAGUUCAUUGGUUGGGUAGAGAAACACCCAAACAGGAAAAGCCAGGUAUGCAUAUCUUUCUACGAGGUCAAAAACAAGCAUGCAACAUGGUUUGGAAACAAAAUUGAGCGCUUUUAUUGGGAGCAGUGGUAUAUUAAUUUGCAUAUCAUAAGCCCUAAACCUCAUGGUAAAUCUCAUAAUACCAAAGCACAUGUGGUUACUGGAGAAAAUGCAUUUGAAGAAAGCAAUUCGAGAUGUGCUGCCUUGGAGUCAUCAUUACGUGAAGUCUUGUUUCAAAUUAUAAAAUUUGUUAACGAGAAGAAAGACCACAUUCCUCCUCUGCAGAAUUCUGAGAUCGUAUCAUAUCCAUAUGAGAUCUCAACCCCAAGGUGACACCUUUUCUCAACGUGUUCCACAGUUCAUCAGACUCUUCCUUUGGUUGGCAUACCGAUGUGCUUAAGAGGAUGCUGCAGACUGGACAUCCUUCCAUGCUUAGCUGACUAUAAAGCCGUGCUGAUUCAAGUUUCGUUCCUCAUUUCUGUUUAUACUAAGUGAUGCUGAAGCUGGAAGGAAAAGGCCUUAUCUUUUUUUUUUUACCUGUCAGUUACCCAUGUACAUAACACUUGGUCACCACUUUGAAAUGGUUGUCAUUUUGUACAGUUUCCUAAACUACAUUAAGGUAGUAAUGCACUGCAUCCAACUGCAAGUGCCUCUGCACCUUGGUGCCGAUCUCGAUGGCAACUUAUGAUGUGACUACUAUUUGUGACAAGUAACUCUUGGAUUUGUUCUGCUUGUUUCUGCUUGAUGUUCA